rnacentral:rRNA from 1 species
CGCAAGCCUGAUCCAGCAAUGCCGCGUGCAGGAUGAAGGCCUUCGGGUUGUAAACUGCUUUUGUACGGAACGAAAAGCCCUGGGUUAAUACCCUGGGGUCAUGACGGUACCGUAAGAAUAAGCACCGGCUAACUACGUGCCAGCAGCCGCGGUAAUACGUAGGGUGCGAGCGUUAAUCGGAAUUACUGGGCGUAAAGCGUGCGCAGGCGGUUUUGUAAGACAGAGGUGAAAUCCCCGGGCUCAACCUGGGAACUGCCUUUGUGACUGCAAGGCUAGAGUACGGCAGAGGGGGAUGGAAUUCCG